GGGCUCGCUUCGGCAGCACAUAUACUAAAAUUGGAACGAUACAGAGAAGAUUUAGCAUGGCCCCUACAUAUUCUUCCUAGUCUAAGUACUUUAAAGCAAUUUU